rnacentral:rRNA from 2 species
UCUGGAAGGCCGAAGAGAUUUGGCUGUGCUCGCAAGAGAACCGGAACACAGGUGCUGCAUGGCUGUCGUCAGCUCGUGUCGUGAGAUGUUGGGUUAAGUCCCGCAACGAGCGCAACCCUUGUCAUUAGUUGCUACGAAAGGGCACUCUAAUGAGACUGCCGGUGACAAACCGGAGGAAGGUGGGGAUGACGUCAAGUCCUCAUGGCCCUUAUGGGUAGGGCUUCACACGUCAUACAAUGGUCGGGACAGAGGGUCGCCAACCCGCGAGGGGGAGCCAAUCCCAGAAACCCGAUCGUAGUCCGGAUUGCAGGCUGCAACUCGCCUGCAUGAAGUCGGAAUCGCUAGUAAUCGCGGAUCAGCAUGUCGCGGUGAAUACGUUCCCGGGUCUU